CAUCGCAAUGACCUUACACUUACUUCGCUGUGUCCGUGCCCGAGUUCAGGCUCAGACAAUACUUAUUCCACAAACAUGGCUGUAUCUGAGGCUGAGAAAGCCAGACUUCCUGCCGCCACUUCACAAAAGGGUUCGGGGGGGGGGGGGGGAAGGGGGUGAUGUAGCUGGAGACUGUCUGCUACUGGGAUUCCAGGUUUACAAAUCAGGACUCUGGUUCCAAUGACCCAUUUUAUAAAUGAGAAGAUCGAGUCUGGGGUAGAAUGGGAACUCGGCACUCCCUGAGAGUCAGUGGCUGCUCGCAUGGCAAGGCAGGCUGAGUGCUUCACCUGCAGGACCCGUGAGGUGGGUGCUGUUAUUAUUCUCAUUUUACAAGUGAGGAAACUGAGGCUCAGAGAGGCAGAUCAGCUUGCCCUGGUCAGGAUAUCACAGAACUAAUCCGUGAUGGAGACGGGACUCGAACCCAGGCCUUCCUGACACCAAGAGCACUAAACUGUCUGUAGGUCUGCUAUAAUCCCCCUGCCUCUCACCAAGCUAACAGCGUGUCUGCAGCCUGCGGCCUUGUAAGUGCAUUCUGGGUGCUGGGGCUGGGGUGGGGAGGGGAGGUGAACAGAGAGGGCAGAGCUGGACCAGGCUGCAUCCCUUCCAGAACUGCCCAGAGCACAGUCUAGCCCAGCUGCUGCUCCAGGCAGGCCAGGGCAAGGUCAGGGAGAGGGAUCUGCCCAGAGGGCUCCUGGCCUCAGUCUGCCUUCCUGCUGCCAGGGGCACCUACAACAGUGCGCCCUGAAACCAGUGGGGGCACCACAGGGGGAGAAAGCCUUGAGUUAGUGCACUAUCAGUAUGGAGAAUGGCAGGGGCUCCCCUGGAGGACCAGAGCCCAGGGUGGGAGAGAGAGGAGCCACAGCAAGCUAGCAGCAGAGCUGGGAGGAGACAGAGGCACGCACAGGGGUUCUCUCUGCCCAUCUGUCUGUCUGUCUGUCUGCCUGUCAACUCUCCCCUCCUCUCUGUCUCUCUCUGUCUCUGUCUGUCUCUGUCUGUCUCUCUCUUUCUCUCUCUCUGUCUCUCUGUCUCUCUCUCUGUCUCUGUCUCUAUCUCCCUCCCUCUAUCUCUCUCCCUUCUCUGUCUCUCUCUGUGUCUCUCUCUG
rnacentral:lncRNA from 1 species